AUUGAACGCUGGCGGCAUGCCUUACACAUGCAAGUCGAACGGCAGCACGGGAGCUUGCUCCUGGUGGCGAGUGGCGAACGGGUGAGUAAUACAUCGGAACGUACCCUGAAGUGGGGGAUAACGUAGCGAAAGUUACGCUAAUACCGCAUAUUCUGUGAGCAGGAAAGAGGGGGAUCGCAAGACCUCUUGCUUUAGGAGCGGCCGAUGUCGGAUUAGCUAGUUGGUGAGGUAAAGGCUCACCAAGGCGACGAUCCGUAGCGGGUCUGAGAGGAUGAUCCGCCACACUGGGACUGAGACACGGCCCAGACUCCUACGGGAGGCAGCAGUGGGGAAUUUUGGACAAUGGGCGCAAGCCUGAUCCAGCCAUGCCGCGUGAGUGAAGAAGGCCUUCGGGUUGU
rnacentral:rRNA from 1 species